GACGAACGCUGGCGGCGUGCUUAACACAUGCAAGUCGAACGGAAAGGCCCUGCUUUUGUGGGGUGCUCGAGUUGCGAACGGGUGAGUAACACGUGAGUAACCUGCCCUUGACUUUGGGAUAACUUCAGGAAACUGGGGCUAAUAACGGAUAGGAGCUCCUGCUUCAUGGUGGGGGUUGGAAAGUUUCGGCGGUUGGGGAUGGACUCGCGGCUUAUCAGCUUGUUGGUGGGGUAGUGGCUUACCAAGGCUUUGACGGGUAGCCGGCCUGAGAGGGUGACCGGCCACAUUGGGACUGAGAUACGGCCCAGACUCCUACGGGAGGCAGCAGUGGGGAAUAUUGCACAAUGGGCGGAAGCCUGAUGCAGCAACGCCGCGUGCGGGAUGACGGCCUUCGGGUUGUAAACCGCUGUCGCCUGUGACGAAGCGUGAGUGACGGUAAUGGGUAAAGAAGCACCGGCUAACUACGUG
rnacentral:rRNA from 1 species